CCAGGGGGCCGGGCAGCCGCGUCAUCGUUUCAUCGAUGCCGAGGAAAGUCCGGGCUCCAUGAAACAAGGGUGGCGGGUAACGCCCGCCGGGGGCAACUCCAGGGACAGUGCCACAGAGAACAGACCGCCACACCGGAGCGAUCCGGCGGCAAGGGUGAAACGGUGCGGUAAAAGCGCACCGCGCGCGCCGGUAACGGCCGCGGCACGGUAAACCCCACCCGGAGCAAGACCGAAUAGGGACUUCGCGCCGGAUAUCCGGCAGGCGGGUUUCACGCCAUGGGUUUCGGCCCAGCGCAGUCCGGGUUGGUUGCUUGAGCCACGCAGCAAUGCCUGGCCUAGAGGAAUGGCUGCCCGUGCCGAUACGGUCCGAUAUCGGAUACCGUCGGCACGACAGAACCCGGCUUACAGGCCCCCUGGCAUC
rnacentral:RNase_P_RNA from 2 species